rnacentral:rRNA from 1 species
GGAUUAAGAGCUUGCUCUUAUGAAGUUAGCGGCGGACGGGUGAGUAACACGUGGGUAACCUGCCCAUAAGACUGGGAUAACUCCGGGAAACCGGGGCUAAUACCGGAUAACAUUUUGAACCGCAUGGUUCGAAAUUGAAAGGCGGCUUCGGCUGUCACUUAUGGAUGGACCCGCGUCGCAUUAGCUAGUUGGUGAGGUAACGGCUCACCAAGGCAACGAUGCGUAGCCGACCUGAGAGGGUGAUCGGCCACACUGGGACUGAGACACGGCCCAGACUCCUACGGGAGGCAGCAGUAGGGAAUCUUCCGCAAUGGACGAAAGUCUGACGGAGCAACGCCGCGUGAGUGAUGAAGGCUUUCGGGUCGUAAAACUCUGUUGUUAGGGAAGAACAAGUGCUAGUUGAAUAAGCUGGCACCUUGACGGUACCUAACCAGAAAGCCACGGCUAACUACGUGCCAGCAG